UGCCUGGUAGUGGGGGAUAACGUCCGGAAACGGACGCUAAUACCGCAUACGUCCUACGGGAGAAAGCAGGGGACCUUCGGGCCUUGCGCUAUCAGAUGAGCCUAGGUCGGAUUAGCUAGUUGGUGGGGUAAUGGCUCACCAAGGCGACGAUCCGUAACUGGUCUGAGAGGAUGAUCAGUCACACUGGAACUGAGACACGGUCCACGCUCGUACGGCGGGCAGCAGUGGGGAAGGGUGGACAAUGGGCGAAAGCCU
rnacentral:rRNA from 1 species